rnacentral:rRNA from 1 species
GGGCCCGCACAAGCAGUGGAGUAUGUGGUUUAAUUCGAAGCAACGCGAAGAACCUUACCAGGGCUUGACAUGGCACUGAAUAUACAAGAGAUUGUAUAGACCUUCGGGACAGUGUCACAGGUGGUGCAUGGUUGUCGUCAGCUCGUGUCGUGAGAUGUUGGGUUAAGUCCCGCAACGAGCGCAACCCCUAUUGUUAGUUACCAGCACGUAAUGGUGGGGACUCUAGCAAGACUGCCGGUGAUAAAUCGGAGGAAGGUGGGGACGAUGUCAAAUCAUCAUGCCCUUUAUGUCCUGGGCUACACACGUACUACAAUGGCCGCAACAAAGGGAAGCGAAAUAGUAAUAUGGAGCAAAACUCAAAAAGACGGUCUCAGUUCGGAUUGUAGGCUGAAAUUCGCCUACAUGAAGCCGGAAUUGCUAGUAAUGGCAGGUCAGCAUACUG